rnacentral:rRNA from 1 species
UACGUAGGGUGCAAGCGUUAUUCGGAAUUACUGGGCGUGAAGCGUGCGCAGGCGGUUUUGUAAGUCUGAUGUGAAAUCCCCGGGCUCAACCUGGGAAUUGCAUUGGAGACUGCAAGGCUAGAAUCUGGCAGAGGGGGGUAGAAUUCCACGUGUAGCAGUGAAAUGCGUAGAGAUGUGGAGGAACACCGAUGGCGAAGGCAGCCCCCUGGGUCAUGAUUGACGCUCAUGCACGAAAGCGUGGGGAGCAAACAGG